AGUGUUUCCCAUACAAACAGGUUCUCAUUGCUCAUGCGCAAGAGAGAGAAAAAUCAUCUGAUAUAUUUUAUUAAUAUUUAAAGGUGGAGCUGAGCUAUUUAUAGCAUCAUCAGGUACUUUUGAUAAUUGAAGAUGAGGAGAUUCUGCACAAUCCUAAAGCCUUUCUUCAUAGAUGGAAUUUGUUUUAAGGAAGCAAAAAACAAAGAUACGUCUGGGAACUUUGACUGAGGGGAAUUGGCAUUUAAACUACAUCUACUGGCUCCAAUAUUGGCACCAGGUUAACAUUCAGUUUCUGGAACUCUUCAUUUCACUUGGGUUCCAAUUAUUCUUGCUCUCUCAUCAAAAAUGUAAAUUCCCUUGUAGGAUCGUGCGGAACAGACACUUAAUAUUUACUCAUCAUUCUCCUAAUUGGUUUCCCAAUCAAUAGUUACUACAGUUGAAAAUUGUCAUUGCUAUGUCUUAGAAAACAAAGAUUAUAUGGAACCAAAACUGUAAAGGCACAAAAGUGAUCAUAAAACACACAUUUUAGGUAUAUGCAAUAAAUUUAACAAAUAUUAAGGGCUUUGAUCUGAAUGUCUGUGUCCUCCUAAAAUUCACAUGUUGGAAUCCUUACGCCCGAUGUUAUGGUGUUAGAAGGUGCGGCCUUUGAGAGGUGAUGAGGUGUUGACGGUGGAGGCCUCACGAAUGGGAUCAGUGCUCUUGUAGAAGACAUCCCAGAAAGCUGCCUAGCCCCCAGUCCACCGUGCAAGGAGACGAGAAUUCUGCAGCCCCGAAGAGAGCGUUCAUCGGACGAUGCUGGCACCUUGAUCUCGGCUGUCCAGGCUCCAGAACUGUCGGCCAAGGAUGAUGAUUACAACAUGGGAGUAUCUUCGCAGUUUUCCUAUUCUCAGAAGUUUUCCACAUUUAGUGUCUCAAGAGCCCAUUUAAAAUAGGUAUAUUAUGGGCUUAUUUUCUGGAUGUACCUAAUCUACACCACCUGUUCAGGUUGUUAUCAACUUUCCCUGACUUUUUCCUUACAAAUGGACCUUGGAGUCAAUAUUUAAACACAUUAUAUCUAGCCUCUCAAUGCGUUAAUUUGGUAAGUAGAAUUUUAUUUCUUAAAUUCCAGUAAAUCUUCA
rnacentral:lncRNA from 1 species